rnacentral:lncRNA from 1 species
AAUAAUUUACUUAUUUCUUUUUACUAACGAGAUAAUUUUUGAAAGAAUAAAAGGAAAAAACUUUUUUAAAUAACAAAAUAGUAUUUAAGAAGGGAAAAAUCAGUUUUAAAAUACAAAAAAAUUAAUGAAGAAUUUGAUAAUAUGAUCAAGAGUCAUAAAAUUCCUGUAAGUACCAAAGGUAGAUGGCUGGUCUGCUGAUAACUGCUGCAGUAACAUACCUUAACCCUCUCAGUGAUGGCUUUCUCUAAGAC